UGAAUGUGAGAGUGAAUGAAUAAUGGAAUUGUAAAGUGCUUUGGGUGCCUAGAAAAGCGCUGUAUAAAUGCAAUCCAUUAUUAUCCUAUGGUUUUACCUUUGGGAGUAGCUAUCCCAGCAAUGUGACUUGAGCCAUGUGAGAACCAAAUAUCAUUACCCCAUUGAUUUUUCCUGAAUGUCAAAUCAUCUCAGCAUGGAUGACAUUCCUGUAGAACAAUUAGAUCUGUUUUCAUCUAUAAGUAAGACAAAACACAAGGCUUUCCUCUUUACUGAGUUUUGUAAAUCACUUGUAUAAACAGAUAUUACCAAAACAACACUUCUUUUUCAGGAAGGACCUGUUCUUUGUUCUCUUCCAGAUGAGGUCUCUCACAGAGCGAAAGACAAAUGGAUGAUGAUUGCACACUUGUACGCAUGCAAUCAUUCACCUGCAUUGCCAUCGGGAUACUUUCUUUUAAAAAUCCUUAUUGUCUUGUUCUUCUUUUGUACCACUCUGCUUCAGGUAUUCUGUCAGUUAGGGCAAUAUGUCACUUUUUUCCGUUUUUUCUAAGAGUUUUUUUUUUAAUGUGUUCUUCUUCUUUGGUUUGGAUUUUAGGCUAUAUGCCAAUUUCUUCUUCCUCUGUUGCUUGUCCUUUUCAGCUUGUUCUCCUUCAUCUUGCUUUGUAUUUCACCUUCUCCUGUUACACCAUUCAUAGCUACAUCUGCUGUGUCUCCAUACAUUCUCAUUGUGUGAGGAAAACUAAUGACUUUGAGGGGACCCAGUGGGAUGAACCAUUUUUCAAUUACACAAUAUGUUUAUAUUGUGUAAUUGAAAAAUGUAUUUCAUAUUAAUUGUUUCUACACUUGCACAAAGGGUUAAUGCUAGCCUAGGGUUUUUUAAUAAACAGCAUUAUCAUAUGCAAAACUAGGGUCUCACUAGGGGUGGGAAGAGAUUAUUUUAGGAUGGCACAUGCCACCUAUUGCCACUACAGAAGAUCCGCCCCUGCUUUGAGCAAGCACAAUCCACAGUCCAUAGCCUAAGCCUGCCUUGCAUCAGCACAAAUCACUGAACAGAUGUAUUCACACAUUUACAAAUGUGAUUAUAUACACAUAGAUCUGAAAAUGCACAAAGAGCUCUAAAUACAU
ensembl:lncRNA